GCGUGGAGACAGGUGGUGCAUGGCUGUCGUCAGCUCGUGUCGUGAGAUGUUGGGUUAAGUCCCGCAACGAGCGCAACCCUCACCCCUUGUUGCCAUCAGGUGAUGCUGGGCACUCUAGGGGAACUGCCCCGGUCAACGGGGAGGAAGGUGGGGAUGACGUCAAGUCAUCAUGCCCCUUACGUCCUGGGCUACACACGUGCUACAAUGGCCGGUACAAAGGGAUGCAAGACCGCGAGGUGGAGCUAACCCCAAAAAGCCGGUCUAAGUUCAGAUUGGAGUCUGCAACUCGACUCCAUGAAGGAGGAAUCGCUAGUAAUCGCGCAUCAGCACGGCGCGGUGAAUACGUUCCCGGGCCUUGUACACACCGCCCAUCACACCACGAAAGCCAGCUGUACUCGAAGUCGCUGAG
rnacentral:rRNA from 1 species